AAGUCACCGACUUCACCACCGCCUUCACCCGGACCGACCUUGUUCUGGUAUAUGAUAAGGAACACACUACAUCUCAUCAGAAUCCUAUCAAAUUGAAAAAAAAGAAUUGAGGAAGCUACAUGGGUGACUCCAACUUUGAAUCUAUUUCCGUCACUCAUCUUCGACGGCCAGAAGCUGCAUGUUAGGUUCUUUAUCAAAGUAUGAUGUCUUCAUGAAAGUUUCUCGGAUUCGUGUCUGCUAUCUUGUGCUAAAAUUUGACGACGAUCCAACGGUUAGAUUGUCCUCAACAGAGUUUUUCCACGUCUUGGGUUAUCAUUCGAGUUCCUUUCUUGGAGUCUUCCUCUACCUAUGAGCCUACAAUCCGAAGAGUGACAAUCGGAAUUUGGACAAGUGUUAUGGGCUGCUAUCAAUGGAGGACCAGGUUGUUAUCAAUGAUGAAAGACUAGUAUUGGAGCAUUAUGUACGUUGCUAUCUUGCUAUUGCUAAAUGAUUCGAGGUAGGGAGGCUUCACCCUGGUUAGUGUUUUAUACACUGCUUUACUAUUUGAAAAAUGGAUUAUGAUUUAAAACAUGAGUUUAUGAGAUGACUUGAGAGUGAGCGGGGCAUAACGACUUCCUUGGGUUUCGAUCCCCUAAACCUCCGGAGGGGCUGUACGGACUCGAGAAUGUCUAACAUCCUUUGAGGUGUGGCAUUGCUCCUAGGCGGUAUGGCGUAAAUGGACACUCUCGCUACUCUUCACCAGUUGUUGAAGACAAAGAUCUUCAGUAAAGAGGUAGUUGGCUAAAGGUAGACCGGUCAUCAG